GGCAAUAUUAGAACACCAGAGCAGAUAUCAUUCUGAGGUAUCUGUUAGUGGAUGCAUUGGUGAAAAUGGUCACUCCAUGGUGAAAUGCCAUUGAACGCUGCCUUGUUGGACCACCGAAGUCUUCCUAAGCUGUCAUAUGCGGAUUUCAGCAACAUGUGCAAAGUUCUGUAAGCAGGAUGAGUUUCACGGGAGCAGGAUAUAUGUGGUCAAAAAGGGCCUGUACUCAAAAGGGCCCUGUGCUUGGUUUGAUGCUCUGUUAUCACUGUUUUGAAAAUCUUGACAACUUUAUCUUUGAACUUGUGUUUUAUAAGUGAAGUCCGAUGGGACAAAGGCGAGUGCACAUGAGCAGAGGAGAUCCCUGAAAUGCGUGUCUAAUAUGUACCUACUGUUCCUUGCCACUCCAUUUGCAUCUAGCAUUCAUAACACUCCGUGAACACAGAAGUCUGGUGGAUCCGUGACAUGUGGGAGUUCAGUGACACAAGGAGAAGCUUCGCGGCUGACCUUUAACUUCCCCACACCUCAGGGGACCUGAUGUGGAAGGUUCUUGCAAGCCUAUGCUCAGCGAGCUCUGGGAAAGGAAGGCCAGAUUUGGUCACAGUGAUCUCAGAGGACAGUGCCUGGACACGAUAUUCUGUGUUUGUGCUUGCAAUCUCAGAAACAGCACGAGAUUGUGGAGGCUUCACGAACUCUGAAACUUUGCUCACGAGUUGCAAGCAAAGCUGUGAGUUUUCCAAAGGUUAUUUGGCCAGAAGAGGAUGUCAGCACACAGAAGAAGAGACCACCACUGCUGGCCUUUCCAGUUCCAGCCGGACACCGCGGAGCACUGUUGACAACCGUGCAGGGCUCAUUCUCCUUCACAGAGAGGGGGCCGGGUGCGCCUCCCAGCCCAGGCCCCCAGGAGGCUCUGAGAGGGCAGAGGGGAGGGCCUUCUAAUAAGGCAUAAGCUGCUGGAAAGACAAACUCAAGCGCAAGCUGGGAGGAUCUCACUAGACCUACAAAAGUGGAAGGAAGCUGGCCGGGUGCCUGGCGCUGUGUGACCUACGCAACGAAAGGCAAGCUGAUCUUAGAAUGCUCAAAGAGGAGCAACUCUCCCAUGACCCUGUCCGUUUACACCAGAGAAGAGCAGAUAUGUCAUUCUGCUGCCAGGGCUGAGGAGGGGCAGUUUGCAUCAGGAGCAGACAAGUGGGUGCAACAGACUCUGAUUGCAAAAGUAGAGAAGAUCUCUCUGGAAGGAAACCUCCCAAUGUUUUCACCACGAGCUGUCAUGAAGAGAGACCUUGUGAAGCUCCACUCCAGCUUAGCUGCUUGCAAGGACAUCCCAGUUUCCAGGCACCAAAGUCUGGUAAAGCAGUCACUCAGCCUUCGGCUCCAGGCAGCCCCCUCAGGGAUGUUCUACUUGCUCUUCCACCCUUGGAGGCCGGGCUACCACUGUGUUCCGAAAACUGAUGAGCAUCCAGCGGGCAGCUCGCAGUCAGCUCCCCAGGCUGAUACUGGUUCCCUGGGUGAAGCGUGCCCGUGGGAAGACCCUCUACCUCUCCAGACACUUGGAUAAAGCAGUGGUCAAUGAGAGAUGGUGGCUUCCACCCAUUCUCUCAGUGAUGUCUGGGUUCGGAAGGCCUCCAGGUUCAACCAUCUGCAAAGGAACAAAAUGAAAAUUCAUUUUCCACAUGGUGAAAUGAAUGUCAUUCUUAUUUUAGUUUGUCAUAGAAAUCUUCUCUUUACCGCAAGAACUAUUCUUCAACUUAAACUGAAAUUGGAGAAUGCAUAUGGGCUACCUAUAAGUGGUUGAAUGCAAUUUUUUUA
rnacentral:lncRNA from 1 species